UAAUACGUACGUGGCAAGCGUUGUCCGGAAUUAUUGGGUGUAAAGNGCNCGCAGGNGGUCCNUUANAUCUGAUGUGAAANCCCACGGCUCAACCCUGGNCGGUCAUUGGAUACUGGGGGACUUGAGUGCAGNAGAGAAGAAUGGAAUUCCACGUGUNGCGGUGAAAUGCGUAGAUAUNUGGAGGAACACCNGUGGCGAAGGCGACUCUCUGGNCUGUAACUGACGCUGAAGCAGCGAAAGCGUGGGGAGCAAACAGGAUUAGAUAUCCUGGNAUCCACCCGUAAACGAUUGAGUGCUAAGUGUUGGGAGUNGUUUCCGCCCAUUCCGUGCUGCAGCUAACGCAUUAAGCACUCCGCCUGGGGGAGUACCGGCGCCAAGCUGAAAACUCAAAAGAAUUGACGGGGNNCCGCACAAGCGGUGGG
rnacentral:rRNA from 1 species